CGACGUCCGCCGCCGAGUCCGCAUGCCUUCCCAGGGCGCGGAGCCGGGGACCCACCGCAUUUCCCGGGGUGAAUCGGCCGCAGCAGGCCGUAGGGCGACUUCCAGCCCGAACCCGUCAGCUAACCCGGUAGGCGGCUUGGAAGCAGAGGA
rnacentral:sRNA from 2 species